rnacentral:rRNA from 1 species
UUGACCUCGAAUCAGGUAGGGAUACCCGCUGAACUUAAGCAUAUCAAUAAGCGGAGGAAAAGAAACCAACCGGGAU